GAUGAACGCUGGCGGCGUGCCUAAUACAUGCAAGUCGAGCGAACGGACGAGAAGCUUGCUUCUCUGAUGUUAGCGGCGGACGGGUGAGUAACACGUGGAUAACCUACCUAUAAGACUGGGAUAACUUCGGGAAACCGGAGCUAAUACCGGAUGAUAUUUUGAACCGCAUGGUUCAAAAGUGAAAGACGGUCUUGCUGUCACUUAUAGAUGGAUCCGCGCUGCAUUAGCUAGUUGGUAAGGUAACGGCUUACCAAGGCAACGAUGCAUAGCCGACCUGAGGGGGGGAUCGGCCACACGGGAACUGAGACAGGGUCCAGACUCCAACGGGAGGCAGAAGUAGGGAAUCUUCCGAAAGGGGCGAAAGCCUGACGGAGAAACGCCGCGUGAGUGAUGAAGGUCUUCGGAUCGUAAAACCCUGUUAUUAGGGAAGAAAAUAUGUGUAAGUAACAGUGAACAUUUUGACGGUACCUAAUAAGAAAGCAACGGCAAACUACGG
rnacentral:rRNA from 1 species